AGAGGACAGAGAUGAGGAGGCAGGCCAAGGCAUGGCUGCAUCGUGUGACCCCUGGGAAACACUGCCAGCAAGUUCCAAACUCCCACGAAUAUUUAACAGAUAACAAAGUGCCUGAAAUUACAACUAAACAGUCUCUCAUCUUUGGUGCCUGGUGGCCAGACUGCCUCUGCUCAUGAUGUCAUAAGACCACAGGAGCCAGGGACAACUGCCUAUGAGGGUAACUGAUCCAACAGUCUGGUGACAUGGAGAAAUUUUAAAAUCUGAGUUCAAAUCCUCACAGUAAAAAUCAGUCCAUAGAUUGGAUGAACAAAAUCUAGAGAUCAAUAUAAAACCUGUAUAAAAACCUGAUAUUUGUGUUUUCAAAGCAAAGACUCAUGACCAAACCUUUGGCAGAGUGCAGGGAAUCAUAAGAAAGAAGGGGAGUCAGUCUGAUGGGGAAAGGAUAGGAGCGCCACAAGGACCAAAUAUAUCUGGGCACAGGGUCUUUUCUGAGACUGACAUUCAA